CCUACGGGCGGCAGCAGUGGGGAAUAUUGGACAAUGGGGGGAACCCUGAUCCAGCCAUGCCGCGUGUGUGAAGGAGGCCCUCGGGUUGUAAAGCACUUUCAGUGAGGAAGAACGCCUGGUGGUUAAUACCCAUCAGGAAAGACAUCACUCACAGAAGAAGCACCGGCUAACUCCGUGCCAGCAGCCGCGGUAAUACGGAGGGUGCGAGCGUUAAUCGGAAUUACUGGGCGUAAAGCGCGCGUAGGUGGCUUGAUAAGCCGGUUGUGAAAGCCCCGGGCUCAACCUGGGAACGGCAUCCGGAACUGUCAAGCUAGAGUGCAGGAGAGGAAGGUAGAAUUCCCGGUGUAGCGGUGAAAUGCGUAGAGAUCGGGAGGAAUACCAGUGGCGAAGGCGGCCUUCUGGACUGACACUGACACUGAGGUGCGAAAGCGUGGGUAGCAAACAGGAUUAGAUACCCCAGUAGUC
rnacentral:rRNA from 1 species